UACGGAGGGUGCGAGCGUUGUUCGGAAUUAUUGGGCGUAAAGCGCGCGUAGGCGGCUCUUUAAGUCUCUUGGUGAAAGGCCGGGGCUCAACCCUGAGCAUGCCGGGGAUACUGGGGAGCUGGAGACAGGCAGAGGCCAGCGGAAUUCCGGGUGUAGCGGUGGAAUGCGUAGAGAUCCGGAAGAACACCGGAGGCGAAGGCGGCUGGCUGGGCCUGAUCUGACGCUGAGGUGCGAAAGCGUGGGGAGCGAACAGGAUUAGAAACCCCCGUAGUCC
rnacentral:rRNA from 1 species